rnacentral:rRNA from 1 species
UACGUAGGGGGCAAGCGUUGUCCGGAAUUAUUGGGCGUAAAGAGCGUGUAGGCGGUCCGGUAAGUCGGCUGUGAAAGUCCAGGGCUCAACCCUGGGAUGCCGGUCGAUACUGCCGGACUAGAGUUCGGAAGAGGCGAGUGGAAUUCCCGGUGUAGCGGUGAAAUGCGCAGAUAUCGGGAGGAACUCCUAUGGCGAAGGCAGCUCGCUGGGACGGUACUGACGCUAAGGCGCGAAAGCGUGGGGAGCGAACAGG